AAGAGAGAUACCAUGAUGGCAAGAAGGCCUGUCUCCAUGUAUUUGUAUAAAUAUUUGCCAUUUCUGGGACUUACCAAUGUAAAGUCGGCAGUUACCGUAGCCCUUUCCAAAUGUCCAUACUCGUAUUCUGACUGAUUCCAAAUUGGGCUGAAUUGCCUGGUUUGUAAAUGAGAGAAUAAUUGGGACUUGUAGGUUGAAGCUCUGUCCUCUGCCAAGCCAUUUGCUAACGAACAUGAGAGUGUAGCUUCACCAACAUGUGAUGAAUUCUGUAGCUCAGGGCUGUUUACCAAAGAUAGACACCAAAUGCUGGAGUAACUCAGUGGGUCAGGCAGCAUCUCUGGAGAGAAGAAAUAGGUGAUGUUUUGGCUCGAGACCCUUCUUCAGACUGAGAGUAGGGGAAAGAGAAACAAGAGAUAUAGACGGACAUAACGGAUAUACCAUGGUGAAUGAAACCAGCACCAGUUAUUGGCACCACACCAACCAUUGUAUGCCAUGUCAGUCAACCCUAUCACUUCACUUGUCAUGAGAAGUUGUUCUGUGUUCAUUAUCCACACGCACAUCACCAGCCAGUAUCUGCCUGUCAUCUACCAUGAUGCAUCGUUCCUCAUGCUUGUUCAUUUAUUAUUAUAUGAACCAACAUGAACGUCUGCCUCCAAUGUCAAUCCGUGGUGGCAUUGGGCCACAAACACGCACACUCUUUGGUGGAGUGAUUGCUUUGUGUUACUUAGUGUCAAUGGGAGUUAGUCCCACCUCUCAGUCAUUUUCUAUUGCCGUGGGUCCCUGUGCCAUCCAAUGUGUGAGCUUGUGAGGUUUUGGAGGAGGAAGUGUUAAGGCCUUUUAGAGGUGAGGAGGAAAAGGUAGAUAUGAUAAUGCAUCAAUUUUACUCAUUUUAAACUUGACCAAAGAAGAUCCAAAACAAAAUAGACACAAAGUGCUGGAGUAACUCAGCGGGGCAGGCAGCAUCUCUGGAGAACGUGGAUAGGUACAAAGUGCUGGAGUAACUCAGCAGGACAGGCAGCAUCUCUGGAGAACGUGGAUAGGUACAAAGUGCUGGAGUAACUCAGCGGGGCAGGCAGCAUCUCUGGAGAGAAGGAAUGGUGACGUUUCGAGACCGUUCUUGCUGUUUUGACAGAAUGCCUCUUCUGCAACUGAGAACAUGCGUCACACUAGGGUCACAUGGGUCAAUGCAGCCACGUUAUGGCCAGGUCUGCCUCGUUUCCCUUUGAUGAGACUGGAUUUUGUUCAUUAUGCACAAUACUUUAGUAUCGCAUCUACCACAUGACCGUUCAGUACAAAUCCAACAGUAGUUACUUGAUUUCUGUUUGAUGCCUCGAUUUGUUCAGGUGUUGAUGUUUCACUACCCAGUUCUUGUGAACUUUUAUUCAUAAUUACAUUUUUUGCCGUGUU